rnacentral:rRNA from 1 species
UACGGGGGGAGCAAGCGUUGUUCGGAUUUACUGGGCGUAAAGGGCGCGUAGGCGGCGCAACAAGUCACUUGUGAAAUCUCCGGGCUUAACCCGGAGCGGUCAAGUGAUACUGUCGUGCUAGAGUGCGGAAGGGGCUACUGGAAUUCUCGGUGUAGCGGUGGAAAUGCGUAGAUAUCUGGAGGAACACCGGUGGCGAAGGCGGCAUCCUGGACCGGUAUUGACGCUGAGGCG